AAAAAAUAACGAUACGGGACUCAUCCGAGGCCCCGUAAUCGGAAUGAGAACAUCCUAAAUCCUUUAACGAGGAUCUAUUGGAGGGCAAGUCUGGUGCCAGCAGCCGCGGUAAUUCCAGCUCCAAUAGCGUAUAUUAAAGUUGUUGCGGUUAAAAAGCUCGUAGUUGGUUCUGCGUGCCACGCUGUCGGUUCACCGCCUGUCGGUGCAACUGGCAUGCCGUGGCAUGUCCUGUCGGUGGCGGAUAGGCUUCGCAACGCUCCCUGCACAACUAUUGUGUAGGUCGUCGUGUCGUCCUUGUACGCCGGCUCAAUCCUGCCGCGGUGCUCUUUACCGAGUGUCGAGGUAGGCCGACACAUUUUACUUUGAACAAAUUAGAGUGCUUAAAGCAGGCUCUUAAAUCAGCCUGAAUAGUGGUGCAUGGAAUAAUGGAACAGGACCUUGGUUCUAUUUUGUUGGUUUUAGGAAUCCAAGGUAAUGAUCAAUAAGGACAGGCGGGGGCAUUCGUAUUGCGACGUUAGAGGUGAAAUUCUUGGAUCGUCGCAAGACGCACUAGAGCGAA
rnacentral:rRNA from 1 species